ACCAGGACAGGGCGUUGUGGGAGAAUUGUAGUUGUGGUACCACAACGUCGCAUGACUAGCCAACUGAUAUGAGGCCAGCCACGCCUUGCCCCGCUCAGGUGUGCCUUUCCCUUCAAAAAAUGCUCCAAGCAGGUUAGCCAUGGGAACGCAUCUUCUGACCCAUCGAACGUCAAAAUUUUCAGCUUCUGGAACUUGGGAGAACCUUGCCAAGCAUAUGUUGAAGUAUAUAUGUGGAUUGCCUAGCCCUUUCUACCAGUUCAGACUUUUGGUUGUGUUGGCUAGUGCAUGAAGCUUAACAUGGUAUCAGGGCCUAAGGUCUUGAGUUCAAGUCCGGGCUUUCGCAAUUUAUCCAAAAAUUGUCGUCGCCCCCUCUGUGUCCACGUAUAGGCCUCUUGAACCAUACCUCUGAGUCUAUUCACGUGUUGACUUCUUGGGGGUGUUGAAAUGUAUAUGUGGAUUGCCUAGCCCUUUCCCAUCAAUGUUGUACCGCUUGUUGUCACAAGUCAGCAGCUCACUCGCCUUCGUCGCGCUCGGACCACCUUCUGUUUGGCACAAUUUGGUCACGUCUUCCAUCAGCUUGUGGAGAUCGGUCUUGAGCACAAGAGUGUCGGUAGACAAGGCAGUAACUUGGUCAACAAGGCCGGCAAUCUUGCUGCUGACAAUGCCCUCCACAUCAUCUCGGGCAGCUGACAGCACUGAUCCCAUGUUCCUACAAGCGUGUGGCCUAAUAACUAGGAACGACUGGUCUGAUAUGAACUUGUCACGGCCCAGCCUCCGGAGGGCAUAUCCGUGCAGAUCCUUGUGCGAUGUAGGCGCGGUGAGGUUGUGGUUUGGGGAUAACUAGAGGCAAGCCUCAUCUUUUCUUCUUUAUUGAAUCUUUGAUGCCCAUAUGUAGUAGGCCUAGGUCCGUUCAUACAUAGGGCCGGGCCGGGCCGGCUGAUACAAAUUCAACUUAAUAUGCCAACUAAAACAAUCAUUAUCUUGGAAAUAAUUAACUAACUUGACAUGCAAGCAAACUAAAGAUAAUGCCUAUUGCUAAGCAGAUUUCAGACCAUCCUUGUUCAAGGAGAAGAUGAACUUGUACGAACGAUCUGUACAGAAGAAGCAUACGAACACUAGGACACACCAGACACCACCAAGAACUGCUAGCCUGAACUUUAUUCCUGAAGAUCGACUAUUGUAAUAUUUAUGGUGGGAUAGACAGUGAACAAACCUGGUGAGUCAUAAUAAGAUGGUUGAUCCAAGAAAAGCAUUGCCUCCCGUAAUCUAUGGCGCUUUCCUUCAGUACCUGCAUACUGGAAAGUGGUGUGCACGGCAUAUGGUUCUAGCCGAAGCUGCUGAUGCAUGCCCUGUCAAUUAAACAAGAGUAUGCAGAGCAGUUAGAUAUCAAUAAUAGCACUAUGAGUUCUAUGUACAAAAUGGUGGAACAAAAGAGUAAUACCCAAGAAUGCAAAGAACAUAAUAAAUGAAACUAACAAAAAAAUGAUUCUUAGUCACCAACCUCAAACAAGAAAUGCUCCUACCUGCACAAAGUAGGUAUGGCCGCUGCAGAAUAUACUUGCUGGUAGGACUCCAAGCUUCAAUUUUCCAUCAUAUGAGUAGACAAGUUCAUCUUCUCCUUGAACAGGUUGUCCAAAAACUUUGUGUAUGAGAUCAUUAAAAGCAUUCUGGUCCCAUAUCUUAUCAUCAGAUAUGACAAGGUCUUUCCAUUCUUUUGCCAGCCUUUUAGCAGGUUCAGUAGGUCGCCAAUGGAAAAUACCAAUAUUAUAUGCGCCAGUUACUGUGGAUAAGGACACGGACAAAUAGCAAUGAAGUAUAUCGGCUGUGUUUAAUAGCAAAGUAUCCCAAAAACUUAAGUAUCAGAAAACUACAAUAAAUUAGCCUGCAGGUAUGAAAUACCACGGUUUUGACAUAACAAAAUAUUUUGUAGUAUUGAUAAUACAGACAACCUGUUUGGCUGUGCCGUUUUCAGUGACUCAAAAUUAGCUGGCUAAAACCAUUAGCAACUGCAAAUACACGUGGUUUCCUAGUUAGCUAGAGAUUUUAUGCAACUAUUCGGCCAUGCACCAAGAACGGCCAUGCAUACGGAGUAGAAGACACAUUUCGUAGCUGACUAUCCGGACGGCGACAACUUCUUCAAAAAGUUUUUGUGGUUGGCUAUAAUUUGAAGCAAUAAGCGAAAGCGGGCUAACUAAAUCACCAAGCAGAAGAUCCUAAUAAAAUGAUCAUGGACAUGAAGAGUGUUGAUAAGCUAUGAACGAGGGGCUCUCUUUUUUCAGCGAGCUCAGUUUUUAAAAAAGAGGUAUGGGGUUCUUUUUUUUAUGCAGAGAAAAUAUUGCGGUUUGUCAAAAACUACAGUAUCAAAAUCACAGUUUUUAGAGGCAGGCAAACAACCCUUUGUAAAAAAAACUACAGUAUUAUAAAAAAACUGUAGUAUUCUGAGAAUACUUAGAAAAUACUUUGUUAUCAAACGGGGCCAAAGUUACAAGAAUCAAACUUUUUAUAAUUCGGAUAUAUCAAGAUACCUCAUGCCAAACUGAAACAAAUUGAUGGUAACUGGAUGCUAAACCCAAAAAAGGUACUGUAAUCUUAUUAAGGUGAAUUGCAGCAGAUUUCCAUAAUUAUAUGAGAAACCCUGUAAUGAGAGUGCUAUUGUAAUUUGUGUCCUGGUUCUCUGAGGAUUUGAUGAUAUAUGUUGGCUGGCGCGAAUAUCUUCAGCAAUGGUAUUACACGAACUAGGGCAAUAUAAUGUGAAAAGGUAUUAGCCGAUAUUUUCCAAUGAGUUAGCUAAGUGAGUUAUUCCUUUCUUUCACCGAGAAAAUCUUGUUUAAUCAAAUGUUUGGAUUGCAAAAACUGAAAUAUUAGGCCAUUUAUAACCGAUCCCUUAUAACUGGUUAGAGGAGUAAAAAUCAUGUUUUACUUCUCUAACCGGCACCAACGGGACUCCGGUUGAGCCAGAGUAUGAUACGAACAGGAUCCUGGCAUUCCUUGAGGAGCAUCGCAAGAUCGAGAGCCUUCAAGUUCAUGCUCAGCUCCAACAAGGUCUUGUUGAGCAUCACUGGCAACGUCUUAGUAAGUUCUAGUUGUUCUAUCACAUGCUAUUUGCUACAUUUGGACCAUUCGGCGUGUUUAAAUUUGAAUAAUUCGGUUUGUAAACUAUAUUCGUGAUUUGGUUGAACAUUCAAAUUUAUGUUUAGUUUCUAUAUGCGUGCUAAUAUGUAGUUGCAAUUUAUACUAGAAUUGCAAAGUUUAGAAAAAACAAAAAAUUACUCCGUUAAAUAUAGGGGAUCUGCUAGGUCUGGCCAAAACUUAGUCGAGAAAAUAUACUCCACUAAGGGUUUACUCCACCGGACACUCCAUUAUUUUUAGGGGAUAGGUUAGAUAUGCUCUUGGUAUCGUAGUUGAACUAAAUUCGUUUGAAUUUCAAGGGCGGGGGGUAACAGGAGAGAUGAUAGAUCCCACAUAUUUGGCAAGGAGUAUAGUUUUACAUCAUUUAAUUUAACAGUCUGAAAAGGGCAAGGAAACACUUCUCGGUAAUGCUCAGUUUUGAUAGUACUCACGGGUUGGGAUGCAACAUCUUUGACAGAUUGCUAUCAACUUAUCAUCAGAUGAAAAUCAAAAACCAGUGUCUCUUCACGACAUUGAUUCUUAAAUAUGUAACUGCAACAUGUCAGUGUGCGGGUAGAUUACCUUCCCUCCAGUUCUCCAGGCUGUCGUCGGUGACUGUGGGUACGACCUGGUCGCUGGAGGUGAGGAGAUCCGCACUGGGGUAGCGGGCGAGAUAGGGCAACGGGUUCUUGAGCCACACCAUGUCCGUGUCGCACAUGAGCAGUUCGUACCCGAAGGGCAGGAGCUCGUUGAUGAGCAGCACCUUCUCCCUGCCCAUCUUGUGGAAGGUGGGGGACCCCCAGCCAACGUCCUCCGUGACCAUCCUGCUGCCCAUGUCGAAGACGGGCACGCCCGUGAGGUAGAGUUCCCGGAGUAGCUUGGUGUCCAUGGCGCCCACAAGGAGAUUGUCUACCCCGAGGCCAGUGAGGUGGUGCACCCAGGUGAGGAUAAAGUCCAUGAAGGCGUAGUUGCCAAAGGUUAUGACGAUGACCCCAUCGCGGGCGCGGGCGCGCACCAUGUCGCGGGUGAGGCAGAACGCGCGCGGCGAAGGCAUCCGCAACCCCCGAGCCGGGGGUUUCCAGAUAGGGCGGUUGUACAUGGUCUCCAACUGGGCGGUGUUGGAUAGAGCAGAGAGGUUGGUGGUGGUGGUGGUGGUAGUGACGACCGGGAAGGGGAGCGCGGGGGCGGUGAUAGAGGAGAAAGAAAGUAGGAAGAAGACGGCGGAGACAGCGAAGCCGCCGACGAUGGCGCCGAAGAUCCCGAUGAAGACCGGCUUGGUAGAUUCGGCAGGGCAGCACGGCGCCAUUUCGCCGCUCGGGGGAGGAGGGCGGGGGAUCGGGGUCGCCGGAGCAGAGGGGGUCAACUAGCGAUGGGGACGGGUGCUCCAGUCAUCUCUAUCGCGUGGGGCAGCCGUGGAGGGACGUCUGUUCGGCCCACUGGACGGUAUAGGUGUUUUCUACGCCGAUAUUCGGCCCUCGCCUCUAGACAAACUACUCCCUCCGUUAGUUCAUUCCAUUCCAAAUGUACAUAGACAUACAUUAGAGUAUAGAUUAGUUUAUUUUAUUUCAUAUAUAAUCAUUUAGUAAAUCUUCUAAAGGCUUGUUUGGUUAGUCAGGGUUUGAAAAGGUUUGCCAGGGAUUGAAAGGGAUUAGGUUUGCCAGGGAUUGAAAGGGAUUAAAUCCCUUGUAAGUCAAAAUCCUCCUCAAACCUCCCCAAUCCCCUUCAAUCCCUGUGAUGAAGGGAUUAAUCGAACAUGGCCUAAAAGACUUAUAUUUAAAAACGGAGAGAGUAGUUGACUGUUCGUGCGUUGCACGGACUAAUGAUGAGAUGCACAUAUGGACAUGGGGUAUGUGAGGUCGAGCUCACAUAUUUCCGGAUGAACGGUAAAAUCCGCAAAUAUAGUAAACAAAAUCAAAAAAAAAAUUGAGGCAUGAAACAUUGAUGUUUUUCCUACAUGCAUGAAAAUUUUCAUGAUGAAAUCACAUUUUUCAAGGUGUGGGCAAAAAAACAAAAUCAAUGCUUUAAAAAGUGUUUUUGGAAGCAUUGUUGAGCAUGAAUUUUGUUUUUUGGCCACACCUCCGGAAAUUUGAUUAUGUUAUGAAUUUUUGCAUGCAUGUAGGAAAAACAUUAAUGUUCCUUGCCAUAAAAAUUAGGAUUUUUUGACUUUUAUUAUUAUUAUUUUGGAUUUAACUGUUCAUCCAAGAGAGCGUAUGAGCUUGAGCUCACAAUAGCACUUUCGUGCACAUACACAUUAUUUACUGUGAACAUACAUGUAGAACACAAUGUCAAUACAGUCUCUUACUAUGUCACAAACCCUUUAUUGUUUGUUUUUAAUUUUUUGGUCCCCAAAAUAACCUGUCAUUUGCUUCCACAUCCCUCUCCAACUAUUGUCAUAUCUACCUUCAACUAUGUUGAUGUUGCCUCCUUGUUGUGGUUUCCAAUCAUGUUACCUUGAGUUAUUUGUUUGCAUUCUUCAACUAUUGAGGUGGUUCCCACCAUCCAAUUCGGCUUCAAGAAGCACAUGCCCCUGCAGACCAAAAAUAUUAUAUUUUUCUAGUUAAAAAUUUGAAAGAAAAAACAUAGUUGUGCUCAUGGUCACAUCCAGUUGUUUAUGAGUAGAUGUGCAAAAAGAAAAACAAGUUCAACACCCAAUAUAUUACACUUAAUUUGUUUUUCACUAAUGAAGCACUGUUGACCCGUUUCACAUGAAAAUUAACAAGUAUGCUUGUUAAACUAAUAUGAACAUCUAAAAACAUAUAUUUUUAAUUGACUAUUCAUUUGGAAGUUUAUGCUCCCCAAAGCCAAAACAGCCCUCUCGUAUGUGACCUGGAACCUUAGUGGGAUUUAUGGUGGAUAUUCAACAUCAUAUUGAAAAUUAGUUUUUUGCGUGCCACUCUUCUCAACCUCUCUUUUCGACGUUGCCUCUGCCCCAUCCAGGAUUGAGUCAUGUUCUCUCGCCUUUUUCCAUCUCCUUGAGGUAGUUGUCUGAUAGAUGUGAGGGUGUCCGAUCUUUCGGUGAGAUGAUAACUAUCAAUUUGGUGGAGACGACUUUGACGAUCCGACUACAAACGUGCACGACGUUGCGCCUUAGCAAUCGCUAAACCAACUCCAAGAGGUUAUUGACCACGCCGGAGCACAAUCAACCUGACCACGAAGGUCUAUUCCUGCAAGCAAUUGAAGAACAAGCAAGAAUAUGAUAUUGCAAUCUAAAUAUUGCGAAUAUAGAUGAAGUAUUGAUAAGUGUGGGGAGCCGAAAGCGGUCUUAGUCUGGUCGUUGGACACAAACGAAGUACACGAAGUUGCAAUGGCUAACUUUUAACUAAACAAAUCCCAACAAAAAGCUACUAGAUUGAUCUACUUAUAAAGGAGCAAAGGGUGGCGGCCAAGAAGGUGGGAGGACGUUCCAAGGCAGCCUAAAACUAACCCUAGGUCGUACAAGGCCUAUGGGCCCAAGUGGAGGUGAUGCAACACCAAUGGACUUGUUGUUUGACUCAGAUUCUAGUGCAACGUCAUAUUGUUUGGUCGAUAUCUCCAUGCUCCACACGAUUUUGAAGGUGAUUUCAAUUGGGCCUGAAAGCACAUAAAAUCUAAUUUGCAUCCCAAAAAGAAUCACCCAGUUCGGAGUCCGGAUGUAAAAGUUCUUGGCAUUUUGGUACAGGCAUGUGUGUGCAGUCCGAAUCUGAGUCCAUAACGUGAGAGACUUGGACUCUAUCUUCUCUUGGGGUAAAAGUGACGUGAUAGAACUUCUUGAACAUCAACUAAUUAUUUUAUUUGCCAUGAGAGGACCUCUUGAAUAGCAUCCAACCAUUUCCUCUUCCCUUGUCAUCACACGUGGUUCAUACAAGUGUUCGACCAUUCUGCAUUUAGGUAUAAAAUAAAAACAGGUGAAGUAUUUUUGUUCCGGAUAACAUAAAUAAAUUAUUGCAUGACUUUUAUCAGAAAUCACCUCAAAUAAAUACGCAUAUGCAAUGAUUGUGAUAAUAUCUAAGGUAGUCAUGUCCUCAUCAUUGUCUGUGCACAUCCUUUUGUCAGCUUGGUGUCUACCCUUUAUCAAGUCACAUUCUUAUCUCCUUGUGGCAAUGGUUUCAAAGAGAGUAUGUUCCCAUAUCACAUAUGUGAAAGAUAUAUUUACAAGCGAGUACAUGUUCCAAAUAAGAAACAACUAUUUUGUUGAUUCUCAUCCGUGAACUCACAAAAUUAACCUGUUGAGAUAGCUAAUGGAUUCCAACAGUAUAUAGAAAAACGGGGUUGCCAAAUCUCAAUCAACUGAGACUAAACAAGUCUUAGUUGAAGCUAUAUUCGUAAGAUCUUACAUGGAGAUCCACAAUUUGCUUUCUACUUGAUUAUAUGCUAUGUUACUUGACUGGGGCGUGGUUAAGUCUCUAAGAUCUAGUCACACCCGUAGAAAAAAGGAAUUGUUUGCAUAGCAAAUUUCCAUUCAAAAUAUUGAGAAAUGAUAAAAUAGAAUGAAUGGGA
rnacentral:lncRNA from 1 species